AUUGAACGCUGGCGGCAGGCCUAACACAUGCAAGUCGAACGGUAACAGGAAGACGCUUGCUUCUUUGCUGACGAGUGGCGGACGGGUGAGUAAUGUCUGGGAAACUGCCUGAUGGAGGGGGAUAACUACUGGAAACGGUAGCUAAUACCGCAUAACGUCGCAAGACCAAAGAGGGGGACCUUCGGGCCUCUUGCCAUCGGAUGUGCCCAGAUGGGAUUAGCUAGUAGGUGGGGUGACGGCUCACCUAGGCGACGAUCCCUAGCUGGUCUGAGAGGAUGACCAGCCACACUGGAACUGAGACACGGUCUAGACUCCUACGGGAGGCAGCAGUGGGGAAUAUUGCACAAUGGGCGCAAGCCUGAUGCAGCCAUGCCGCGUGUAUGAAGAAGGCCUUCGGGUUGUAAAGUACUUUCAGCGGGGAGGAAGGGAGUAAAGUUAAUACCUUUGCUCAUUGACGUUACCCGCAGAAGAAGCACCGGCUAACUCCGUG
rnacentral:rRNA from 1 species